GGUCUUGCUCUGUCAUCCAGGCUGGAGUACUUUGGUGCGAUCAUAGCUCACUGUAACCUUGACCUCCUGGGCUCAACGAUCCUCCUGCUUUGGCCUCGUAAAGCACUGGGAUUCCAGAAUGACCUUGAGGACUGUGACCGUUGCUGUGUGCAUCUGUGCUGCUUCCCGUUUCAUUGCUGAGUGGUGUUCCUGUAAAUGGAUAUGCCACUGUCUGCUUCUUCACUCACCAGGUAAGGGACACACUGACAGUUCCAGGUCAGGCUCAUGAUGGGUAAAGCUUCCACUCACAUCUGGGCACAGGUCUUUUAUGGCCCUGCUUUUCAUUUCUAGUUGGUUUCCCCACCUAGGUGUAAAAUUGCUAGAUUGCAUGGGAGGUGGGUGUUUAGCUUCAUAACUGCCUUGCAGGGUGAUUCCCACACCCCCAUCAGCCGUGUUUGAGGUCCUGAUUGCUCCGACAUUGAUAGUUCAGUCCUUUUCACUUUAAUUCUAAAGGGUGUGCACUGGCAUCUCGUGGUUUAACUUGCACUUCCCUGGUGGCUGGUGAAGUUGAGCAUCUUCCCAUGUGUUUAUUCGUCGUCACAUUUCUUUUAACCAUUUUUAAUUGGGUUGUCAUUUAGAAAAUUGUGGUAAAAGAUACAUAACAUACAAUUUACCAUCUUAAUUUAAUCAAUUCAGUGACAUUAAGUGCAUUCAUGUGUUGUGCAGUUGUCACCACCAUCCUUCUCCAGAACUCUUUUUUGUCUUCCCAAACUGAACCCCUGUCCCCAUUAAACACUAACUCCUCAUUCUCCUCUCCCCUCAACUCCCAGCCCCAGGCACCCCGCCAUUCUACCGACUGUCUCUAUGAAUGUGACUACCAGGAUCAAGGAACUUCAUACCAGUUGAACCAUACAGUAUUUGUCCUUUUGUGACUGGCUUAUUUCACUGAACAUAAUAGCCUGAAGGUUUAUCCAUGUUGUAUGAUGUGUCAGAAUUUCCUUCCUUUUUAAGGCUAAAUAAUAUUCUAUUGUGUGCAGAGAUCAAUUGUCUUUAUCCAUUCAUCUGUUAAUGAACACUUGGGUUGGUUCCACCUUUUGGUUAUUAUGAAUAGUACUGUGAUGAACAUGAGUGCAAAUAUAUCUGUUUGAAUUCCUGUUUUCUUUUCUUUUUUUUGAGACAGGGUCUUGCUGUGGUACCCAGGUUGGAGUGCAGAGGCAUGAUCUUGGCUCACUGCAGCCGCCACCUCCCAGGAGUGAUCCUCCCACCUCACCCUCCCAAAUAGGUGGGACUACCAGCAUGCACCGACACACCUAGCUAAUUUUUGUUAUUUUUUGUAGAGAGGGGGUUUUGUCAUGUUGCCCAGGUUGGUCUUGAACUCCCGGGGUCAAAUGAUCCACCUGCCUUGGCCUCCUGAAGUACUAGGAUUGCAGGCAUGAGCCACCAUGCCCAGACUAAUUCCUGUUUUCAAUUUUAGGUAGUCAUUUGAUUAUUGAGUUGUAGAAAUCUUACUUUUGGAUUAAUAUAUUAAAAACUAUCACCAGUUAGCCAUGUGUUAACUGCUUAGUUUUUCAACCAAACUUCAAUCAUCAGCCAGCCCUCACUUUCAGCCCAGAUCGACGGGCUCAACGCUUGGUGAUCGGUUAACUCCUUGUUUUUUAGCUAAUGCUUUAAUUAGCAAUUACCAUCUUUGUCUUCAGCUAAACAUCAUACUUCUCAAUGCUUUGGUUAUCAGCUAAUGUCUUCUUUUUCAGCUAACACUUUAGUGGACAUUAAUACCCUUGUUAACGUAUGUUACUUCAACCAGAUUAGACCUGGCUGCAUUGGGAAAGGAAAGUGGGGGGCUUGACAAGGAACGUGAAGACAUUAAAGGCAAAACCUCUGAGUUAAUGAAGGGAGUCCUCCAAGAGAGUUCUUUCCUUCACGAGCUGGAGCCUGGCUCUCCAUGAAAGCUUUUUGAAUGAAUGAAUGAAUGGGUGA
rnacentral:lncRNA from 1 species